GACGAACGCUGGCGGCGUGCUUAACACAUGCAAGUCGAACGAAGUGGCGAACGGGUGAGUAACGCGUAAACAACCUGCCCAUCAGAGGGGGACAACAGUUGGAAACGACUGCUAAUACCGCAUACUGAAGGAGGGGAUUGGGUGUGAUUACCUAGUUGGGGGGGUAACGGCCCACCAAGGCGAUGAUCAGUAGCCGGUCUUAGGGGAGUAACGGCCACAUUUGGACUUGGACACGGCCCCAGAUUCUACGGGGAGCAGCAGUGGGGAAUCUUCCGCAAUGGACGAAAGUCUGACGGGACAACGCCGCGUGAUUGAUGACGGCCUUCGGGUUGUAAAGCUCUGUUAAUCGGGACGCGGUACCGGAAUAGAAAGCCACGGCUAACUACGUGCCAGCCGCCGCGGUAAUUC
rnacentral:rRNA from 1 species